ensembl:lncRNA
UAUCAAUAGAGUGGAAAAAGGGGGGAGAUUUAGUAUAGAGCUUAAUUGCACCAGGUGGAUGAGGCAAUGAGGUAGAAGAGGCAUGUAUAUUCAUUGACCUCUGGCUUCUAGUUUUCUAAAUGAUUAUUAGUUUCUAACAGAACAAUCACUUUCUCAGCACCACAAUUUAUGGAAAGAGAAAGGAAGAAGAUUCAGUAACAGAAAACCUCCACUUUGGAAUUGUUAUAGUGAGAUGACAUUCUGAGAAGGAUUAGAGAGAACAUGAUCCAUUACUCACAUUUUGCUUCAAGAGCCAAGUCCCAACAGCUUAAGGAUUACAUCAAACAACUAGGAAACGUGGGAAGAAUCAAUGUCUCCAAAAGCAAAAAUCGCUUUGUGAUCUCAGUUUCUCAGAGAGCAGCUGUGAACCUGUUUUGACCCCCUGGCUGCUGAGGUUGGAAACUAUGCUGCUUCAAUCAAUUUUCCCUGGGCUCUUCAAUGAUGCCUAUUUCCAUCUGGGCUUGGGACAGAAUUGGAAAGAAGGCAGCCAGCUUCAGGUCUCAUUUCCAGUCCUAGCACAUGGCAAUAUCCUUCAGAGCACAAGGAGACAAUUCUUAUGUCAGUUUCCAAGACUGAAGAUGUUAAUGAAGACUCAUGAUGUAUUUUGGAGAACAAAGUUAAACACAAAAUCCAUCAAGAUGGGGCUAUUAGGAUUAUUUGGGGGCUAGCUCUGUAAUCCUUGUAUACACUACUCCCAAGGAAGCCAAUGGGAGUGUAUCAAUGACUCUCUUCAACCUAGGCUCCUGAUCAACUUGCUUGGUAUUUUAUAGAGUUGCAGAGACAGGACAGAAUACAGCAGAAGCCAUGUCCUUUGGAUUGAUCUCCUACCUAAAUUUUCUUUUUUUUCUGAACAACGAGGAUUUCAGUCCAGGGAAUGUUACUGCUGGAAGUAGCAUCCUUUGCUAUAGCAUUAAAGCCGCCACUUGUACCUGCUCCACACAUCCUUUACUAGCCAUUAAGUCAUCCACCUGUCACCAUCAUUUUCUCUGAACUUAGGAAUUAAGGCAAGUCCAAUUCUCCACAUUGCCUGCUCCAUAUGUCGCCAUGGAAAUGAGUAACAUUGGAUUGAAAAUAGCUUUCAUAUAACAAGGUUUCUUUGUGUAUAUUAUUAACAGUAAUUUAAGAAAAUGCUCCUCCCCCGUGAAGAAAUUGCACAAUUAGGCCUCAGAGAACCUAUAGUUGGCUUGCUUGUUAGUUUUCCAGCACCCAAAUGGCAAACAAGAUGAAUCCCAUGCCAGGCAAACAUUACAAUGAGGCUAAGAAGUCCAAGAAGAUACAACAUAGUUACCACUAUAGAUGAUUACUUUUUCUUGAACACAUUAAAACAUUUUUUGAUAUAUUUAUAAAUGAAAUCCUUGUAUCAUUGCAUGUGUGCUUGGCUGAAAAACCUCCAGAGAAAUCGAUAACAAGAAGUCAAUUACAGUGAAAAUCUGCUCAAAAAGUGAUUUUAAGAGAUACCAAUUCAUGAGUUCAAUAACUCAGUGAUCUUUUUUUUUUCUUAUGCUAUUGAAUAUAAGUAGUAUAAGAAAAAAGAUCACUGGGUUAUUGAACUUGUGAAUUUGUAUAUAUAUAUAUAUAUGUUCCAAUUUAAAUAUAUUCCAACUAUACAUGUAUAUAUAUUCCAAUUUUUAUAUAUGUAUAUAUAUAGUGUGUGUUGUAUGUGUGUGUGUAUAUAUAUAUGUAUAUAUAUAUAUGUAUAUAUAUAUAUAUAUAUAUAUAUAUACACACACACACAACACACACACAUAUACAUAUAUAUUUUUCCAAUUUAAAAAUAUUUCAGGGGGAAAGAGAUAAUAGAAACCAGAGCCCAAGGGGUUGGGGUAGGGUCCUAAUUUGCCUUUCUGAAAUAUUGGGAGUACAGACUGUAAUUGCUCACUACGUACACUAAAAAAGUACAAUAAGAUCCUUCAUUUUAAAAAAGUUGCUUCCACAUAUUUUAAACUCUAAAAUAUUUUAAAGCAAGUUUAGUCGAUUGGACUUCCUUAAUGUUUUACACUAAGGUUUUUAUCUGAAAAUCAAAGGGGGGUGUGUGUGUGUGUGUGUGUGUGUGUGUGUGUGUGUGUGUGUACAAUUGUUUUGGUAUGCUGUGUAUGGCCAGAAAUAUAUGGAGCUGAUAUGUACACAUAAACAUUACUCUGUGCUUAUGCAGACCUAGUCAUCUUAUCAUAUGCAUUAUCUUACUUCUACUCCAUUCUCUGAUUCCUUUUUCAAAGUUGUGCAGUGGAAAGCACGGGCGUUGGGUCAGGGGAGCUGGGUUCUGCUCCUGACUUGGAUGCUUACUAGAUGUGUGACUAUGAACAAGUCUUUUAACUUCUUCAAUUAUAAUCUAAGGCUAAUAUCCACACUCCUUAUCUCACAGUGUUGUGAAGAAAACACUUUGUUAACCUCACCAGUGUGAUAUAAAUGAGAUACCGUUAUUAGUAAGAAAAUAAUAAAUAUAAUUUUUCUGGUCA